GAUGAACGCUGGCGGCGUGCCUAAUACAUGCAAGUAGAACGCUGAAGGAAGGAGCUUGCUCUUUCCGGAUGAGUUGCGAACGGGUGAGUAACGCGUAGGUAACCUGCCUGGUAGCGGGGGAUAACUAUUGGAAACGAUAGCUAAUACCGCAUAACAGUAGAUGUUGCAUGAUAUCUACUUAAAAGGUGCAAUUGCACCACUACCAGAUGGACCUGCGUUGUAUUAGCUAGUUGGUGAGGUAACGGCUCACCAAGGCGACGAUACAUAGCCGACCUGAGAGGGUGAUCGGCCACACUGGGACUGAGACACGGCCCAGACUCCUACGGGAGGAAGCAGUAGGGAAUCUUCGGCAAUGGACGGAAGUCUGACCGAGCAACGCCGCGUGAGUGAAGAAGGUUGUCGGAUCGUAAAGCUCUGUUGUAAGAGAAGAACGAGUGUGAGAGUGGAAAGUUCACACUGUGACGGUAUCUUACCAGAAAGGGACGGCUAACUACGUG
rnacentral:rRNA from 1 species